AAGUCGUAACAAGGUUUCCGUAGGUGAACCUGCGGAAGGAUCAUUACAGAGUUCGUGCCCUCCCGGGUAGAUCUCCCACCCUUUGAAUACAUACCUCUGUUGCUUUGGCGGGCCACGUCCGCGUGCUGGCUCCGGCUAGCUGCGCCCGCCAGAGGACCCCAACUCGUUUGUUUAGUGAUGUCUGAGUACUAUAUAAUAGUUAAAACUUUCAACAACGGAUCUCUUGGUUCUGGCAUCGAUGAAGAACGCAGCGAAAUGCGAUAAGUAAUGUGAAUUGCAGAAUUCAGUGAAUCAUCGAAUCUUUGAACGCACAUUGCGCCCCUUGGCAUUCCGAGGGGCAUGCCUGUUCGAGCGUCACUAUGACCACUCAAGCCUGGCUUGGUGUUGGGGCCCGCGGUUCCGCGGCCCUUAAAAUCCGUGGCGGCGCCAUCUGGCUCUAAGCGCAGUAAUACUCCUCGCUACAGAGUCCUGGUGGAUGCUUGCCAGCAACCCCCAAUCUCACGGUUGACCUCGGAUCAGGUAGGGAUACCCGCUGAACUUAAGCAUAUCAAUAAGCGGAGGAAAAGAAACCAACAGGGAUUGCCUUAGUAACGGCGAGUGAAGCGGCAACAGCUCAAAUUUGAAAUCUGGCUCCUGCGGGGUCCGAGUUGUAAUUUGUAGAAGUGGCUUUGGGCGUGGCUCCGGUCUAAGUUCCUUGGAACAGGACGUCAUAGAGGGUGAGAAUCCCGUAUGUGACUGGGCGCCUUCGCUCGUGUAAAGCCCUUUCGACGAGUCGAGUUGUUUGGGAAUGCAGCUCAAAAUGGGUGGUAAAUUUCAUCUAAAGCUAAAUAUUGGCCAGAGACCGAUAGCGCACAAGUAGAGUGAUCGAAAGAUGAAAAGCACUUUGGAAAGAGAGUUAAACAGUACGUGAAAUUGUUGAAAGGGAAGCGCUUGCAACCAGACUUGCACGCUGUUGAUCAUCCGAGGUUCUCCCCGGUGCACUCGGCAGCGUCCAGGCCAGCAUCGGUCUUGGUGGGUGGGUAAAGGCCUUGGGAAUGUAGCUCCUCUCGGGGAGUGUUAUAGCCCUCGGUGCAAUGCGCCCUACCGGGACCGAGGACCGCGCUCCGGCUAGGAUGCUGGCGUAAUGGUCGCAAGCGACC
rnacentral:rRNA from 1 species